CCUCAAGUAAACCCUUGGAGCAGCCCUUCGAGGAAGAGAUGAAAAGUCUGUCUGGUCAUGGUGAGGACUCCUAGCUUCUUCUCUUCGCUGUGAGAUCUGGGUUCCUGUGGAAGAAGACUUUCACCAGAGUACACAGCAAGAGUCCCUUUAAACUUCAAUCCUUGGCUGUUGUAGGUAUACUUCAGGACUUGUUGUCAAAAUACCAAUAAUCAAGAGAAGGUGUCACAAUCUUAGUAGUAGUAAUUAUCUUGAUCAUCAUAAAGAGAUAGAAAUGUUAUGCAGUGAGGUCAGAAAACAACAUGCUUGAUACUCAUGUCCUCCCUGAGAUAUCUCUUGGCAUUUUCUUACCCAAUUUUAUUGUUUAAUGCUCAUGUACAGUAGACUGAGGGAAGCAUGAAGACCUGGAGUUCAAACCCCCUUGGGAGUGAAUAACUUCUUGGUCAACUUACGAAUAAGACCCUAAGCCAGUGAAGAUCCUUGUUAAAAUUGACGGGAAUCUAGAACUGGUUUUUAAAAAAGAAAAAAAAAGAGAGAGAGAGAAGCAAAUUAUGUCUUCAAGACCAGCUACAGUGGUGAUGUUGAAGUUUUUUCCACUAAACUUCCUGUUGCAAUUUACCCCAAGAAAUAUGACCAGUGCAAAUCUUGAAUGAAGAGUUUCUAAAAUGUAUUACAUAAAGUAUGUGGAGCUGAAGAAAGCAAAAGGUUGGACUAUAAUGGAUGCUCUUUUGUGCCUCCAAGAUACACCCUUCAGUUCUGAGGCUUUCAUUUGUCCGCCCCCUGAGAGUAUUGCUGCCUGAUGUCUUUCUCCUGAGCCUUGAGACUUAUGAAUUGUCCUUGGGCAAAGGGAGCUGCCUUACCAGAAGAAACCUUCUUUCUCUAGGACACUCCUUAUCAAAUGGCUAUUGAUAUGAUAGUAUAAAUGCUUGUGCCCCUAUAUCAAAGCAGAAUUCUAAAGAACCAUUUUAGCAGAGCUGCCCAAGAGAUUGGCCAAGGCCUCCUUGAGACUGUUUCACAGUUCAAGUUCUUUUUCUCAAUCUUAAUUUUUUUUAUUUCUCAAUAGGUAUUAAUCCUGAGAACUCUCCUUAAUAAAAUUAUUAUGUGCAA
rnacentral:lncRNA from 10 species